rnacentral:misc_RNA from 1 species
GAUGAAGAACGCAGCGAAAUGCGAUACGUAAUGUGAAUUGCAGAAUUCAGUGAAUCAUCGAGUCUUUGAACGCACAUUGCGCCCCCUGGUAUUCCGGGGGGCAUGCCUGUCCGAGCGUCAUUGCUGCCCUCAAGCACGGCUUGUGUGUUGGGCCUCCGUCCUCCUCCCGGGGGACGGGCCCGAAAGGCAGCGGCGGCACCGCGUCCGGUCCUCGAGCGUAUGGGGCUUCGUCACCCGCUCUUGUAGGUCCGGCCGGCGCUUGCCGACACAUCAAUCUUUUUUCCAGGUUGACCUCGGAUCAGGUAGGGAUACCCGCUGAACUUAAGCAUAUCAAUAAGCGGAGGA